rnacentral:rRNA from 1 species
AUUGAACGCUGGCGGCAGGCUUAACACAUGCAAGUCGAACGAGAGGCGGACGGGGGAGUAAUGUCUGGGAAACAGCCUGAUGGAGGGGGAUAACUACUGGAAGAGGGAGCUAAUAAUGCCUACCAUGAGAUGUGCCAAGAUGGGAUUAGCUUGUUGGUGGGGUAAGGGCUCACCAAGGAGACGAUCCCUAGCUGGUCGGAGAGGAGGGCAAUCCACCCUGGAACGGAGCCACGGUCCAGACCCUACCGGGAGGCCGCAGAGGGGUAUAUUGUACAAUGGACACAGGCCUACUGCGGACAUGCCGAGUGUAUGAAAGGAGCCUGCGGGUUGUAAAGUACUUUUAGCGGUGAGGCGUUACCCUCAGAAGAAGCACCGGCUAACUCCGUGCCAGCAGCCGCGGUAAUUC